UACGUAGGAGGCGAGCGUUGUCCGGAGUUACUGGGCGUAAAGCGCACGCAGGCGGUCUCUUUAGUCUCAGGUGACAGUCCCCGGCUUAACCGGGGAACUGCGUCUGAUACUGGAUGGCUUGAGUUUGGGAGAGGGAUGCGGAAUUCCAGGUGUAGCGGUGAAAUGCGUAGAUAUCUGGAGGAACACCGGUGGCGAAGGCGGCAUCCUGGACCAACACUGACGCUGAGGAGCGAAAGCCAGGGGAGCAAACGGG
rnacentral:rRNA from 1 species